UACUGAAUCUCCUCAUGUCUACUCCCAGUUUAAAUUCAUUUCCCUGAGACUGAGAGAAAAUGGAAGAUUCUACAAGGAGCUGGGAGCACGAAGAAAGAUAACAGACGUGACUGCAACAAAGGAGUCACUCCUGCCACCCCCUGCAGAAGCUCGCACCGGAAACAAUCUAGGAUAUGGAUCCUCAUAUUUUCCAGAAGAUAUCUGAUGCUGAAGUACAAGGCUGCUGAAACUCCUGGUUUGUUCUUAGUUGCCUCUGAUGAUGCAGGAACUCAGACUCAGGGAAAUAAAUGAUGUGAGAAGUGGAAGAGUCCUUGUUCAAAUCCAAAUCUAUCUCCAAGUUAAUGCUGGACAGCAGACUUUCUGCCCACUGUUUCCAAACCCUGUGGCCUCAGAGUGGGAAAUGAUAGACAGAAGCUGUGAAGUGAGGUAGAUUUGACAACCAAGGCUGGCGUGGCUCCAGGUCUGGGAAAAUGACUUAGACCUGUGCAAGGUUGCUUUCAGUUUGCUUUACUACCAAGCCAAAAUCUACUGCAAAGGACAAAUGCAGGAUUAGUAUAUGAGUGAGUGGAUGUCUCUAUCCUUGGGUGCCUGUGCCUACAUAAAAGUGUUUUGUGAAUUCAGAGGUCUUACAAACCUGCAUGAAAUGAGGAAUCCACCAGAUGAGAGGAGCUCAGAACUGUGGACUCCCUCCCUCAAUUCUAUUCCAAGCCACAGAAGGAUAGGGACUGCGGUGGCCCUCGUCUCUAUACAAUUUAUCAAUUAAGCAGAUUCUCACUUGGCCACAGUUAUAAGCUUCCAAGUUCUUUUUCUGACUUCAAUACAUCAUCAGGCCUACUUGCAAUUUUUACUUAGUGGUCUUAGCUAUAUGAGACUAAAAAGGUAUUUUUAACAAGGAGGAGAAUUGAUGAGAAGCAGAGAGGAAAAAAGGAAGGAAAUCGAUGGAUUCUUUGCUUAUAGUCAGGGCAGCUCACCAGGAAUGUAACGUAAUCCAGAGAAAAAUACCUAUGUCAAGAAUGCAAGUUGAUAGAAAUAAAGAACUCCAUGUUUCAAAGAGCAGCAGGGACCAUCUGCAUUUGGAGAGGCCAAGCUGGGUCUUGAAGUCAGUACUGGGCAAUGUGGAGGUAACCCUGGGAACACAGCCUCAGCAGAGCACGGUGUAAGAUCUCAGAAUCACAAUACAGAACUCAAUGGCAGAGGUAGAGGCUAAGCCCGUAAGUAACGUGUUAAUUUUUUUUAAUCCACCCAACAGAACGGAGGCUUAGAAUCUAAAAUUAACUUUCAGAAGAUGAAAUUAUAUUUCUUUAACACCUGAAUCUGUGAACUGAGCUUUAUGUGUCUCAUGCUCGCUAAUUAUUUUCUGUAUUAUAUUUGUAGAGUUGACUCAGCUUACCCUUGAACUUAGUCCUCUUCAAUUUUUCCUCACUGAAUUUUAAAGGUACUUUUUAAUUUGAUCUUCUUAUAUAAAGUCUAUGCUGCCAUACCCCAUUCGUUGUUGCAGCCAGUUUAACUAAGCAUAGCUCCUAGUCUAGCAUUCAGACAUAUGAUACAAACACGCACAGAUGUGCUCAUUUCUUACCAUGAAUAAAACUGAAAGCAUUGUAUGAUAUUUAUCUUUUAUUUUCAAAAAACCACAUCGGAUCACCUAAAUUUCCUUAGGUAAAUAUUUUAGUGCUAUAUGUAAUGGGAUCACUUUACAUAUUGAAUAUUUAAAAGAAAUUUCCAUUAGGAUAGUACUGACUUCUUCAAAGAAUGAGUAGCAAAGUGUAGAAAUUGGAACAUGAGGCCUUUUCAGUCAUAUUGCACCAUACUAUAAAAAAAGCUUUCUUCUUUGAAUUGUUACUUUUUCCUAGCAAGAAUAGUACUGUGUAAAUGUCAUCUUAAAAAUAUAUUGCAUGCAUCAAUGUCAAGGCUGUAUUAUUUUUUUUCAUAUGGAAGAGAAUGAGUCUCAUAAGAGUUACCAUCAUUAUAGAUUCUCCAAGAUGACUUGGGGAUGUCUGCAUGGACCCUUAAACUGAACACGAAUUUCUUGAGAUACUUUUAUUGGCAAUUAUACUGUGAAAUCCUUGCCUUGAUUGUAACAUUUGCUUUUUAAGCACACUUGGAAAUAUUUAUUUCUUAAA